AACGAACGCUGGCGGCAGGCCUAACACAUGCAAGUCGAGCGCGCCUUCGGGUGAUCGGCGGACGGGUGAGUAACGCGUGGGAAUAUGCCCUUCUCUACGGACUAGUCCUGGGAAACUGGGGGUAAUACCGUAUACGCCCUUUGGGGGGAAGGUUUAUCGGGGAAGGAUUGGCCCGCGUUGGAUUAGGUAGUUGGUGGGGUAAUGGCCUACCAAGCCGACGAUCCAUAGCUGGGUUGAGAGGAUGAUCAGCCACGCUGGGACUGAGACACGGCCCAGACUCCUACGGGGGGGAGCAGUGGGGAAUCUUAGACAAUGGGGGCAACCCUGGUCUAGCCAUGCCGGGUGAGUGAGGAAGGCCUUAGGGUUGUAAAGCUCUUUCAGCUGGGAAGAUAAUGACGGUACCAGCAGAAGAAGCCCCGGCUAACUCCGUG
rnacentral:rRNA from 1 species